ACCGUUUUUCGGCCUUUUGGCUAAGAUCAAGUGUAGUAUCUGUUCUUAUCAGUAAAUGAAUGAAAGGCAUCAUUGUUGCUUCCUAGCCACCAAGU
rnacentral:snRNA from 1 species